AGUUUGCAGCUUCUGAGACGUGGCAUUGCUCUGUGCCGUCAGUCUAACUCAAACACUUUCUACAGCAUUCCUAGAAACCUCAAAUAAAAUGGACUUCAUCCUAAAUGUGAAGAUCACGGAUGAUUUGUGAUUCUAAACAUUGGCUUUAGAAGCACAUCAUUCUGAAAACAAAGCGGGAAAGGAAUUUCCCAACACUUAUACUUUUAAAAGAUUCUUGGAAACCUAGAAGGCGUUGAAAUCCUUCAAGACAAUAAGGAAUUGAAUUUGCAAUCCGAACACUGCCCAAUGUAGAAGAUAAUUUACAUAUAUUAAAUAAACAUGCCCUGGAAAUAA